rnacentral:lncRNA from 1 species
GCGCUGCAUCCCAUUGGAGGCUGUGGCCGUCACUCAUGGCGCCCUCGUGUCACUUCAAUGGCUGCGCCCCUGGCCUUCGUAUUCCUCCCCACCUAUGAGCAGGCGCCUUCCACCUGCCGGCCGCAGAGAUUGGCUGACACCCCCCCAAUACGUCAGCGGGUGGCACCGCCCUCAGCGCCCACCACAGAUGGAGGCAGCUUUGGCGGCGGGGGGGCGCAAGGGAUUUUGGGAACUGGCGCAGGGAGGUCUGGGAGCAGUAUUGCCACCCAGGCCUGUGGAAGACCUUGCCCUUGGGCCUGGAGACGCCUGUACCCUCCAGCCGCAAGCUGGCGAUUCUGACUGUGGGAGCUGUCUCGGCCCUGGCCAUCAGCCUUGUGGGUGUCCUUGUGGGCACCUACCUGGGCAGAGCUGCCUGCAGCCAGGGAGUCGCUGCUGGCUCCCUGCCGGCCCAGGUACACGUGCAGAAUGA